UUUUAGAAAUUAAUUUAAAGUCUAACCUGCCCACUGAAUAAUUUUAAAUGGCCGCAGUAUCCUAACUGUGCAAAGGUAGCAUAAUCAUUAGUCUUUUAAUUGAAGGCUGGAAUGAAUGGUUGGAUGAAAUAUUAACUGUUUCAUAUAAAUUUAUAAUAGAAUUUUAUUUUUUAGUCAAAAAGCUAAAAUUUUAUUAAAAGACGAGAAGACCCUAUAAAUCUUUAUACUUUUUUAAUUUUAAUUAUUUAGAUAAAUUAAAUUAUAAUUAUCAAAAGUAUUUUAUUGGGGUGAUAUUAAAAUUUAAUAAACUUUUAAUUUAUAUUAUACAUAAAUUAAUGAAUUAUUGAUCCAUUUAUUAUGAUUAAAAAAUUAAGUUACUUUAGGGAUAACAGCGUAAUUUUUUUAGAGAGUUCAUAUUGAUAAAAA
rnacentral:rRNA from 1 species